UUAUCAUGAGAUUUUGAAACCAACUUAUCGAGAUGAAAUAAUUUGGAGAUGAAAUAAUAUGAAUCCCCGGCCGCCCGCCCACUUAUUAGAUCCAGAUCGUUCCCCUGUCUCUCUCUCUUUCUUGCUUUCUUCUCUCCGUCUCCUCCACUUCCAGCGUGUCUCCCCCACCUCCGUCAUCGGUCUUCCACCAGUAGCGGUCGUCGCCAGUGAGCUCGAAGAUGGAGUUGCCGACGAGCUCGAAGAAGGAAACCAGUCGCCGGUGAGCUCGAAGACGAAGAAGCCGCCUACAUCGCCGGCGAGCUCGCCUACGUCAGUGGCCGGUGGUCGGUGAUCGAUGCUCGCAGUGCUCCGUCGAUUGAGAAGUCUGAUUGCCCACUGCCACCGUCGAAUCGCCACAAGGUUGCCGAUUUGAGAAGUUCGAUUGCUUCGUUUUGAGUCAUUCACCAGUGACUGACCUGAGGUUCCAGAGCCAUGCAGUCUUGGCAUUGCAGGAAGCAGCAGAGGCAUACCUUGUUGGGUUGUCUGAAGAUACCAAUCUCUGUGCAAUUCAUGCAAAGCGUGUCACUAUGAUGCCUAAAGACAUUCAGCUUGCAAGGAGAAUUAGGAGGGAGAGGGCUUAGUAGCGUGUAGGUGGUGAGGCUAUGUGAAGCGAAGUUAAUUCUUCUUAGUGAUACUAAUGGGAACCUUUCUAACAGUGUUUUCUUUGUUAAAACCAUAUAGUUAUGUUGUCCUUCCCUGUGGAAACUAAAAGUUUGGUGCAAUGGUUUGGAUUGUGUACAUAGGAUUAUGUCUUGAUACAGGCUACUUUUUUGGUGCUAAUGUCUGAUGCGUAAACACCCAUUGUGCUGAAA